CAGCCGCCGCGGUAAUACGUAGGGGGCAAGCGUUAUCCGGAAUUACUGGGUGUAAAGGGAGCGUAGACGGUUAAACAAGUCUGAAGUGAAAUGCCGGGGCUCAACCCCGGAGCUGCUUUGGGAACUGUAGAACUGGAGUGUCGGAGGGGUAAGCGGAAUUCCCGGUGUAGCGGUGAAAUGCGUAGAUAUUGGGAGGAACACCGGCGGCGAAGGCAGCUUACUGGACGACAACUGACGUUGAGGCUCGAAGGCGUGGGUAGCAAACAGGAUUAGAGACCCGCGUAGUCCCUGUCUCUUAUAC
rnacentral:rRNA from 1 species